UAGUCAUAUGCUUGUCUCAAAGAUUAAGCCAUGCAUAUCUAAGUAUAAGCAAUUAUACAGCGAAACUGCGAAUGGCUCAUUAUAUAAGUUAUCGUUUAUUUGAUAGUACCUUACUACUUGGAUAACCGUGGUAAUUCUAGAGCUAGUACAUGCUAAAAAUCCCGACUUCGGAAGGGAUGUAUUUAUUAGAUUAAAAACCAAUGCCCUCUGGGCUCUCUGGUGAUUCAUGAUAACUUCUCGAAUCGCAUGGCCUUGUGCCGGCGAUGGUUCAUUCAAAUUUCUUCCCUAUCAGCUUUCGAUGUUUGGGUAGUGGCCAAACAUGGUUGCAACGGGUAACGGAGGGUUAGGGCUCGACCCCGGAGAAGGAGCCUGAGAAACGGCUACUACAUCCAAGGAAGGCAGCAGGCGCGCAAAUUACCCAAUCCCGACACGGGGAGGUAGUGACAAUAAAUACUGAUACAGGGCUCUUUCGGGUCUUGUAAUUGGAAUGAGUACAAUUUAAAUCCCUUAACGAGGAACAAUU
rnacentral:rRNA from 1 species